rnacentral:rRNA from 1 species
GACGAACGCUGGCGGCGUGCCUAAUACAUGCAAGUCGAACGAGUGGCGGACGGGUGAAUAAUGUCGGGGAAACUGCCUGAUGGAGGGGGAUGACUACUGGAAACGGUAGCUAAUGCCGCAUACCAUCAGAUGUGCCCAGGUGGGAUGAGCUAGUUGGGGGGGUAACGGCUAACCAAGGCGACGAUCCCUAGCUGGGCUGAGAGGGUGACCGGCCACACUGGAACUGAGACACGGCCCAGACUCCUACGGGAGGCAGCAGUGGGGAAUCUUGGACAAUGGGCGAAAGUCUGAUGCAGCCAUGCCGCGUGUAUGAAGAAGGCUUUCGGGUUGUAAAGUACUUUCAGCGGGGAGGCGUUACCCGAAGAAGAAGCAACGGCUAACUCCGUGCCAGCAGCCGCGGUAAUAC